CUCACAUAGCUCACAGCAACCUCCAACUCCUGGGCUUCAGUGAUUCUCUUGCCUCAGCCUCCUGAGCAGCUGGGACUACAGGCGCCCGCCACAACGCCCCGCUAUUUCUUGGUUGCAGUUUGGCCGGGGCCAGGUUUGAACCCGCCACCUUCGGUAUAUGGGGCCCGCGCCCUACCGACUGAGCCACAGGCGCCGCCCCUGUUUUACUGUUUGACAUAAAACUGGAAAGAAAAAACCCCAAAAUAUUAGUAGAUAUAUGCUGUAAUUACUACCAUUUGUUGUUUCAGCACUGGAUGUUUUGGACAGAGGCUUUUAGAGAAAAUUUUGCCUAUUUUGAUAUGUAGAAAAAAUUCAGUGGAGCGAGAAAUGGCAAAAUGCAAAACAUAAGAGGUUACAAAUGCAAAUGCAAAGCUUCUGAAAGGCAACACCCUGGGCAGAACACGGCAAGAUGCAAUCCUGAGAAUUCAACCCUGACCAGGACACGUUCUUCAAAGAGGUUUAUAGCUUCUUGAUGGGUUGGACCUAAGAGAAAUCAGCCUGGAGCCCACUUGAACGAGAGCAAGAAGUGUGAGCCCCAAGCUUUGCUGCUUAGCUGUCUGGAGAUUUUUGUACCCAGAGGCCAUGAAGAGGGGCUGGGACUACACCCAAACCACAGCUUCUCUUACAGCUACAGAUGGCCCAAGACAGUUCUGUCCAGUUAGAUACAAGUGCCAAUCUGCCCGGGAUAUCUGAGAAAGCCUUUGCUUUGAUUUGAAAUCAGACACAACACUGGGGGAGAAUUAGCCUUGUUGUAACUACGAGGGAAGCAGCACGAGAAAGAAGGCCUCACUGUAAGGACGGCCAGGAGAGAGAAACAGCGGCAACUGGGACAUGGAGGACAGGAGGGGGCUCCGUCUUCUACUGUCCCUUCACUGCCCCUUGGUAUCUUUUGGUUACUGGAGAAAAAUAAACUCCAAGUUGCGUACGCCACUGAAGUUGGAUUUUUGUUAGAUAUAGCCAAAUCCCAUUUCAAUUGAUUUUCUCAAAAUGGUGGAAUCACCAGAGGCAGAAAUAAAAUUCUUUUAUGGUUUGAGAAUGACUACAUAUAUUUUAAAAAAUCACCUUAGCAGCAAAGAACACAAGUAUAGAAGAACCCUGAGGAAAAAGAAACCAAAAGAAGAAGAAAGGCAAAUUUUUUAAAUUUGUGAAGCCAAAUAGUAGAGGUGGUAAAUAAUGAUAGCACUGAAACAAGUGGAAGCAGCGAGAAUUCUUGUUUUAAUUAUAGCAAAGUAAUUAGGAUAAUGAGGUCAUAUUUAAUAUGCACUAAUAAAUACAAUAAACAUUUGAGU